rnacentral:rRNA from 1 species
CGGCCCCAACACAAUGAAGAGCAACGAUAUGGCAAGCUAAAGUUCACCAUGCCCAAGUUUACCGGAAGCAAUGACCCCGAAGAGUACAUAUCAUGGGCAUUGAAGGUUGACAAAAUCUUCCGCUUGCACAACUACGAAGAAGAGAAGAAGAUCGCAAUGGCAUCCCUCGAAUUCCAAGACUACGUCCUCAUUUGGUGGGAACAAGUCAUUGAGCGCCAUGCGGCAAGAGGUGAACCACCCAUCACCACUUGGGCACAAAUGAAGGAUGUCAUGAGAGCACGAUUCGUGCCAAACUACUAC